rnacentral:rRNA from 1 species
UACGUAGGGUGCAAGCGUUGUCCGGAAUUAUUGGGCGUAAAGAGCUCGUAGGCGGUUUGUCGCGUCUUCCGUGAAAACUGGGGGCUUAACUUCCAGCUUGCGGUGGAUACGGGCUGACUGGAGUGCGGCAGGGGAGACUGGAAUUCCUGGUGUAGCGGUGAAAUGCGUAGAUAUCAAGAGGAACACCUGAGGCGAAGGCGGGUUGCUAGGCUGACACUGACGCUGAGGCGCGAAAGCUAGGGUAGCAAACGGG